rnacentral:tRNA from 1 species
CAAAGGGCGAUUUAAUUUAUGACUCCAGCCUUGGGGUCUUGGGGAUGGGAGUUUAAUUUUCCCCCCUAAUU